rnacentral:rRNA from 1 species
AUUGAACGCUGGCGGCAGGCUUAACACAUGCAAGUCGAGCGAGCGGCGGACGGGUGAGUAAUGUCUGGGAAACUGCCUGAUGGAGGGGGAUAACUACUGGAAACGGUAGCUAAUACCGCAUACCAUCAGAUGUGCCCAGAUGGGAUUACUUCGUAGGUGGGGUAAUGGCUCACCUAGGCGACGAUCCCUAGCUGUUCUGAGAGGAUGACCAGCCAAACUGGAACGGAGACACGGUACAGACUCGUACGGGAGGCAGCAGUGGGGAAUAGUGCACAAUGGGCGAAAGCCUGAUGCAGCCAUGCCGCGUGUGUGAAGAAGGCCUUAGGGUUGUAAAGCACUUUCAGCGAGGAGGGGUUAAUCGAAGAAGAAGCACCGGCUAACUCCGUGCCAGCAGCCGCGGUAAUAG